GGGCGGGCUGCUCCUCUCUCUCUCCCCGCCGCCGGCAUGCCGAAGCUCAGCAAGGAGGCCAAGCAGCGGCUGCAGCAGCUCUUCAAGGGUGGUCAGUUCGCCAUCCGCUGGGGCUUCAUCCCGGUCGUGCUUUACUUAGGUUUUAGGAGGGGUGCAGAUCCAGGUAUGCCCGAGCCAACAAUCUGGAGUCUGCUCUGGGGAUGAAAGAUGUGGCUCUCCUGCUCUAGAACCAGCCGAUGGACAGAGAAAGUGUUUGAAGAUGCAUACCUUCCAAAGGAUGAGGCGAACACUUACACCAGCUGACUCUGUCAGCUUGCUGAUGACAUAGCCCGGUCCCAGACCAUUGAGCCAUGUGAUCAGGAGGGAUAUGGGACUUGGAAUUUGAGGAACGUCUUCGAACUUCAUCAUGUUUGUUAACACGUGCUAAUGUGGGAUCCACGGGUAUGAUCAAGGAGUGGUCCCUUUUCCCUCUACAUCUCUAGAAGAAAACAAUUUCAGAUCUCUCAGUGAAAUUCUGUCUCAUCAUUCAACUUGAAAAGCAAGAGUUUAAAGACAGGCAUUCUGGAGGCAUUCAAGGCCAGGCUGGAUGUGGCUCUGGGCAGUGUGGUCUGGUGGUUGGCGACCCUGCACAUAGCAGGGGGAUUGAAACUCAAUGAUCAUUAUGGUUCUUUUCAACCCAGGCAAUUCUAUGAUGCUAUGAAAGUUUCCUAUCAAAUACCUAAGGUUUGUAAUAGUAUAUAUAUUCAGCAGCCCUUCUGAAACUUUGGGAUCUGACUUUGAUGUGUACUGUUGUAUAUUCACCUUUCUAGCAUUUCAUCGUGUAAACUGAAUGCUGAAAAAUUAUUAGUUAGAAGUAACAGUGGCAAAAGUCAAGGGAAGAUUCACAAGAUGGCUGAGCUCAUCUAGUGGCUCAUUACUCAUUAGAUCCAUUGGUUCUGUAGCUUCCCCACCUCUGUAGCACCAGCUCUGUCUUGCUAACCUCGCAGUCAUCAGCCUUUAUUAAUGGCGGUGGAGGUAUGAGAAAUGGAGACAGACUUUUUCAAGAAUCUAUUGUACUUUCUGCUCAAGAGGAGGCUUAAAUUGGACAUAAGGAAGAAUCUCUUCAUGAAGAGGUUGAUCAGGCACUGGAACAGGCUGACCAGGGAAAUGGUGGUGUCCCCAUCCUUGGAGGUGUUUAAGAGAUGUGUGGAUGUAGCACUGAGGGACAUGGUAAGUGGUGGGACUCAGUAGCCCAGGUUGAUGGCUGGACUUAAGGGUCUUUUCCAACCUAAUUGAGUGCAUGAUUCUAUGGAGGUGUCUGUGGAGGAGCUGCAGAUAAAAUGGUGGAAACUCAGUGAAUGCAUCAGCAUUUCUCUUCCCUCCAGGAAAAACUUGAAGUUGACCUUCCCACGCAGUAAGCAGUGAUCUUUUCUAUCUCUUACAUCCCAAAAUGUAGUAACAUUUACACCUUUACUGGAAUGCUGGACAGCCUAGGCAGCCACCAGCUGAAGGGUGUCUUCUGGGAAUGUGGAUGUUCCUCAGUCUGUUGUGUGAAAUUUCACUGCUCUGCAGUUUAGAUGCCUCCUGGAAUUCAAGGAGUUCAAUCCAAAGAGUGAGUUUGUUUAGCUGAAGUGUACACAGUAACUAAGAAUGAUCUUAGGCAAUCCAUCACCUGCUGCUGGUAGAGGUGAGAUAAACAUUUCUGGUUUGUGUUUGUUUUGUUCCCUGCUACUGUCACAGUAAUACAGUGCUCAAAGGGUCCAACUCGGGAUCCCCGUUGAGGUCUCCUUUGUGAAUCAGAAGUAGUGUGAUUCAUACUGUACUUGUGAAUAGAUUGUGCUUUUCAUAGCUGCUAUCUAAGCCCUUAUCUGCAGUAAAGAGGGAGCAAGAUCGAGAUCCUUGGUAGUAAACCCCUCAUGCAUUACCUCGGUCAGAGAGCUCUAUAUUUUUAAAGACACUUACUGAAUUCUUACUGAAGAUACUCUAGAAUUUCGUCAAGACCAACAGAUUCAAAUACCUCAUUUCCUUCUCAGAGUCACGUGCGUACAAGACUGGAGUCCAGUAGCUUUGAGACAGAUUGUUCCAUAUUACUCAGAGAAAGCAAAAUGAUUUAGUCAUUCUCAUGGUUUUCCCAUAGCUGUCACAGACAUAGUAGGUACCAAAAUGCUCUCUCACCAAGUAGUCACUAAGAAAAUCUCUGCCAAGGUAAGCUGUGAAAAAGCCAACCAGAUAUUUGUACGUUGGUUCUAUGAUUCUAUGUCUCUUAGACCACGUGCAGGACAACUAAAGCGCUAUCUUCUGUCUUGCAAGAAAAUCCCACUCACCACAGACUUCUUGAAAAUGACCACUUUGAGGUCUCUUCAUUCUUUCCUGAGGUGUUGCACAAUUUGAGCCUAUGGUUUUACCAUAUUGGGCAAAGCAAUUGCACUUUGCUUUGUUUUGAGCCUCUGAGAUGCAGGCUGUGAGCUGACUGCUCACUGUUUUGGCAUCCCCAGCAGUGGAAUGUCUGUGUGGACGAUCAGAAGAUCGCUCAGAGGAAGGGAAGAGUUUACUGACAUCCUUAUCCACAUUCCAGAGCAUACCUUUCAUCUCCUCAUUGUGCUGCUCCAGAGAGAGUAAUUAAUGUUCCACCGUUCACACUGGAAGAAUAAGGCUCAAGGGAGCCCAUCCUUUGUGCGUGCUUUGAGCUGAAAUUCCUGUAAGUUUGGGUAUAUGUGGAUGUUCACAGCCACAUCAAAAUAGGUGAUACAGCUAAGGAAUAUUUCAGUGGUUUGGUACUCAGUCUAAGGACUUAUUUUUAGCUCUGCAUUGCUCGGUGACUUGCAUUCAUGCUCUGUGACAAAUGGAUUAAAUCCCAAGAGUCAUGACAUCACUGUAACAAGACGUCAAUUCCUCCCAUCUGGGGAAAGAACCUCAGAUUUUUUCCACUUAGGAUAGAAUCAUAGAAUGGCCUGGGUUGAAAAGGACCACAAUGAUCAUCCAGUUUCAACCCCCUGCUAUGUGCAGGGUCACCAACCAGCAGACCAGGCUGCCCAGAGCCACAUCCAGCCUGGCCUUGAAUGCCCCCAGGGAUGGGGCAUCCACAGCCUCCUUGGGCAACCUGUUCCAGUGCGUCACCACCCUUCGCGUGAAGAACUUCCUCCUAAUAUCCAACCUAAACCUCCCAUCUCAGAUGUUCAAUCCAAUCUGGAGAUUUCCCUUGGAAGACAGCAGUUUCUAAUCAGAUGAUAAAAUCGAACUUGUUAAUUUGGUGUCUGACCAUAUUGUUUGUUUUAAAUAGAUUGCUUGACUUUUAAGCAUAUACUUAAAUACAUUUACAGGUUUAUGGAGUGUGCUAUAUUAAAUAUAAGGAACUCAUUCCUUUCUCAAGAGCAAUGAUGCUUUAUCAUGCGCUGCUGUGCAUACAGUGAAGUACAUACUGAUGUACAGUACAUCUGUGUACAUUAUAUACCCCCUUUUAAGAACUGUAUGUUGAUUGUGCUGUGUAUGUAUGUAUAGAUGGCCUGUGUAGGUCACUCUGAAAGUAAUGUCUUCCAUUUAUUUCUGUGGAAACUACAACAAAGAGCACAAUAACACUAUUUCAUAGAGCAAAUUCAUAGCAACAAGCGUCGUAUUUCAACAUAGUCACCACCAUUAUUAGCCAAUACAGGUGGAUAAGUUGAUCAAGAUGCUCUUCAUUUUGUAGCAUGGCAGCUGUGCAUGGCCAUCCACACCAUGGUUUGUCUUUCGCAUUGCUGUUGCCAUUGCUGAAACACAUCACCCACUGCCUCACUGUGCUCACAUCCACUGUUUGGUCUCCACAAACAUUCAGCAGGUGUUGAUGAAUGUCAAUGGGUGCCAUUCUUACCACAUGGGGGGAUUCAGUGUUACACCUUUGCCUCAUCCGCACUUCCAUGUUGGACACCGUUCUGUCAGACUGUCCCUCUGCUGCCAUCUGUCACACGGUAACAACACAUAAUGGGAUAUUGGUGGGAAGGUUCAACCUCUGCUGCCAUUCCACCAACAUUCGCCUCUGACAUAGCAGACUGACGUAAUGAAAUAGGAGGUAUUACUUUCGGAGCGGCCUUCAUAGAUAGUUGAUUUAAUUACAGUGAUUGAAUUAUUUUAAAGGGUUACUUUGAUAAUUCCAGGCAUUAAAGACUGGAUACAGUGGAGUUCUUCAGCCUUAUUUAAAGUUCACACAGCUUAGACAAGUUGGUUUUGUUUUUUUUCUCCAGUGAGCUUUUAUUUGUUUUAAAAAUAUAAAUAGAUAAAAAUACAAUAUCUCUCAAAUAUUUUAAAAGCAUAAGUUAUACAACAGUCUGGCUGCUGGACAUUUUCUUUGGCGUUGACUACGUAAUAAAUAAGUUGAUAUUCUGAAUAGUACCGUAAGAAAUGUAA